GGGACUUCAGUGUCGAAGGUGGCCUUGUAGCUGCUUGUCACACAGAACACAUAAACAAUGGUACCCGUGUUGCCAGUCCUUGGAGUUCUGGAGCAGACAGUGUAACAUGUCACACGGAUUCAACCUCUUCACUCGCUGUGCAAAUUUGAAUCGGUUCCAAACAGUCAAGCCUGCCAGAAAAAACAGACAAACUCUCAAGAACAACAAUGCCUAUUAUGUGUGGUGGAGGAGCCGCCAGAUUUUGAUUACCGGACAGACAUUAACUCCUUUGGUGUCUCAUGCAAGAAAUGCCAAGUCUGAAUCCAGAUAUUUUCCAGAAUAGCAUGAGAUCUGCAAUUUACAGUGUCUUCUGCAAAAAAAAAAAAAAGCAACUGAGAGAAGGAAAUGCAAGUUAAAGACCACAUCUCCUGGUUUCUCGAAUUCUGCCAUGACUCUUCCUGGUAAAUGGACAGACUGAGUACCUGUGCUC
rnacentral:lncRNA from 1 species